GAUGAACGCUGACAGAAUGCUUAACACAUGCAAGUCAACUUGAACUUCGGUUUGGGUGGCGGACGGGUGAGUAACGCGUAAAGAACUUGCCUCACAGAUAGGGACAACAUUUGGAAACGAAUGCUAAUACCUGAUAUUAUGAUUAUAUGGCAUCGUAUAAUUAUGAAAGCUAUAUGCGCUGUGAGAGAGCUUUGCGUCCCAUUAGCUAGUUGGAGAGGUAACGGCUCACCAAGGCGAUGAUGGGUAGCCGGCCUGAGAGGGUGAUCGGCCACAAGGGGACUGAGACACGGCCCUUACUCCUACGGGAGGCAGCAGUGGGGAAUAUUGGACAAUGGACCAAGAGUCUGAUCCAGCAAUUCUGUGUGCACGAUGAAGUUUUUCGGAAUGUAAAGUGCUUUCAGUUGGGAAGAAAAAAAUGACGGUGCCAACAGAAGAAGUGACGGCUAAAUACGUG
rnacentral:rRNA from 1 species